UACGUAGGGGGCGAGCGUUGUCCGGAUUCAUUGGGCGUAAAGAGCUCGUAGGCGGCUUGGCAAGUCGGAUGUGAGAACUCCAGGCUCAACCUGGAGCCGCCAUUCGAUACUGCUAUGGCUAGAGUCCGGUAGGGGAGUGUGGAAUUCCCGGUGUAGCGGUGAAAUGCGCAGAUAUCGGGAGGAACACCGAUGGCGAAGGCAGCACUCUGGGCCGGCACUGACGCUGAGGAGCGAAAGCGUGGGGAGCGAACAGG
rnacentral:rRNA from 1 species